AUGAAGCCUGAUAACAGUAGAGGUGUCAAUCAGCCUCACCUCAGGCUCCACUGUUGUGUUUGUCAUAGCCUACCGCCUUGUACAUAUGUAUUAAUGAAGCCCGAUAAGGGUAGAGGAGUCAAUCAGCCUCACCUCAGGCUCCACUGUUGUGUUUGUCAUAGCCUACCGCCUUGUACAUAUGUAUUAAUGAAGCCCGAUAAGGGUAGAGGAGUCAAUCAGCCUCACCUCAGCUCUCCCAACUCUCUCUCUCUACUGCCCUCCUACCCCAAGCUCUGCUCCCCUCUGUUCCAACUCUCUCUCUCUCUACUGCCCUCCUACCCCAAGCUCUGCUCCCCUCUGUUCCAACUCUCUCUCUCUACUGCCCUCCUACCCCAAGCUCUGCUCCCCUCUGUUCCAACUCUCUCUCUCUCUACUGCCCUCUUACCCCAAGCUCUGCUCCCCUCUGUUCCAACUCUCUCUCUCUACUGCCCUCCUACCCCAAGCUCUGCUCCCCUCUGUUCCAACUCUCUCUCUCUCUACUGCCCUCCUACCCCAAGCUCUGCUCCCCUCUGUUCCAACUCUCUCUCUCUCUCUCCUGCCCUCCUACCCCAAGCUCUGCUCCCCUCUGUUCCAACUCUCUCUCUCUCUCUACUGCCCUCCUACCCCAAGCUCUGCUCCCCUCUGUUCCAACUCUCUCUCUCUACUGCCCUCCUACCCCAAGCUCUGCUCCCCUCUGUUCCAACUCUCUCUCUCUACUGCCCUCCUACCCCAAGCUCUGCUCCCCUCUGUUCCAACUCUCUCUCUCUCUACUGCCCUCUUACCCCAAGCUCUGCUCCCCUCUGUUCCAACUCUCUCUCUCUCUACUGCCCUCCUACCCCAAGCUCUGCUCCCCUCUGUUCCAACUCUCUCUCUCUCUCUACUGCCCUCUUACCCCAAGCUCUGCUCCCCUCUGUUCCAACUCUCUCUCUCUCUACUGCCCUCCUACCCCAAGCUCUGCUCCCCUCUGUUCCAACUCUCUCUCUCUCUCCUGCCCUCCUACCCCAAGCUCUGCUCCCCUCUGUUCCAACUCUCUCUCUCUCUCCUGCCCUCCUACCCCAAGCUCUGCUCCCCUCUGUUCCAACUCUCUCUCUCUCUACUGCCCUCCUACCCCAAGCUCUGCUCCCCUCUGUUCCAACUCUCUCUCUCUACUGCCCUCCUACCCCAAGCUCUGCUCCCCUCUGUUCCAACUCUCUCUCUCUACUGCCCUCCUACCCCAAGCUCUGCUCCCCUCUGUUCCAACUCUCUCUCUCUACUGCCCUCUUACCCCAAGCUCUGCUCCCCUCUGUUCCAACUCUCUCUCUCUACUGCCCUCCUACCCCAAGCUCUGCUCCCCUCUGUUCCAACUCUCUCUCUCUACUGCCCUCCUACCCCAAGCUCUGCUCCCCUCUGUUCCAACUCUCUCUCUCUACUGCCCUCCUACCCCAAGCUCUGCUCCCCUCUGUUCCAACUCUCUCUCUCUCUACUGCCCUCUUACCCCAAGCUCUGCUCCCCUCUGUUCCAACUCUCUCUCUCUCUACUGCCCUCCUACCCCAAGCUCUGCUCCCCUCUGUUCCAACUCUCUCUCUCUCUCCUGCCCUCCUACCCCAAGCUCUGCUCCCCUCUGUUCCAACUCUCUCUCUCUCUACUGCCCUCUUACCCCAAGCUCUGCUCCCCUCUGUUCCAACUCUCUCUCUCUCUCCUGCCCUCUUACCCCAAGCUCUGCUCCCCUCUGUUCCAACUCUCUCUCUCUACUGCCCUCCUACCCCAAGCUCUGCUCCCCUCUGUUCCAACUCUCUCUCUCUACUGCCCUCCUACCCCAAGCUCUGCUCCCCUCUGUUCCAACUCUCUCUCUCUACUGCCCUCCUACCCCAAGCUCUGCUCCCCUCUGUUCCAACUCUCUCUCUCUACUGCCCUCCUACCCCAAGCUCUGCUCCCCUCUGUUCCAACUCUCUCUCUCUACUGCCCUCCUACCCCAAGCUCUGCUCCCCUCUGUUCCAACUCUCUCUCUCUCUCCUGCCCUCUUACCCCAAGCUCUGCUCCCCUCUGUUCCAACUCUCUCUCUCUCUACUGCCCUCCUACCCCAAGCUCUGCUCCCCUCUGUUCCAACUCUCUCUCUCUCUCCUGCCCUCCUACCCCAAGCUCUGCUCCCCUCUGUUCCAACUCUCUCUCUCUCUCCUGCCCUCUUACCCCAAGCUCUGCUCCCCUCUGUUCCAACUCUCUCUCUCUCUACUGCCCUCUUACCCCAAGCUCUGCUCCCCUCUGUUCCAACUCUCUCUCUCUCUACUGCCCUCCUACCCCAAGCUCUGCUCCCCUCUGUUCCAACUCUCUCUCUCUCUCCUGCCCUCUUACCCCAAGCUCUGCUCCCCUCUGUUCCAACUCUCUCUCUCUACUGCCCUCCUACCCCAAGCUCUGCUCCCCUCUGUUCCAACUCUCUCUCUCCUGCCCUCUUACCCCAAGCUCUGCUCCCCUCUGUUUCAACUCUCUCUCUCUCUCACCUGCCCUCUACGUAGAUAUUGGGGUUGUUUGUAA
ensembl:lncRNA